rnacentral:rRNA from 1 species
CCUACGGGUGGCUGCAGUGGGGAAUAUUGGACAAUGGGGGGAACCCUGAUCCAGCCAUGCCGCGUGUGUGAAGAAGGCCCUCGGGUUGUAAAGCACUUUCAGUGAGGAAGAACGCCUGGUGGUUAAUACCCAUCAGGAAAGACAUCACUCACAGAAGAAGCACCGGCUAACUCCGUGCCAGCAGCCGCGGUAAUACGGAGGGUGCGAGCGUUAAUCGGAAUUACUGGGCGUAAAGCGCGCGUAGGUGGCUUGAUAAGCCGGUUGUGAAAGCCCCGGGCUCAACCUGGGAACGGCAUCCGGAACUGUCAAGCUAGAGUGCAGGAGAGGAAGGUAGAAUUCCCGGUGUAGCGGUGAAAUGCGUAGAGAUCGGGAGGAAUACCAGUGGCGAAGGCGGCCUUCUGGACUGACACUGACACUGAGGUGCGAAAGCGUGGGUAGCAAACAGGGUUAGAUACCCUAGUAGUC